rnacentral:rRNA from 1 species
AGCUCCAAUAGCGUAUAUUAAAGUUGUUGCAGUUAAAAAGCUUGUAGUUGAAUUUCUGGCUGGAAGGGAGCGGUCCCGCAUCUUUGCGGGUACUUGCUCAUCUUCUGCCAUCCUUGGGCUUAGUCUCGCUGAUAUUAACUUAUCGGCGUGUACGAUGCCCAUCGUUUACUGUGAGCAAAUUAGAGUGUUCAAAGCAGGCUUAUGCCGUUGAAUAUAUUAGCAUGGAAUAAUAAGAUAGGACCUAGUGACUAUUUUGUUGGUUUGCGUUAUUAGGUAAUGAUUAAGAGGGACAGUUGUGGGUAUUCGUAUUCAGGUGUAAGAGGUGAAAUUCUUAGAUUAUCGGAAGACGAACGACUGCGAAAGCAUUUACCAAGGAUGUUUUCA